AUGAAGAUGGCGACUUGCAUUCGUAAGGUGGCCUCGGAGGAGUUUGGAGUGUCCAGGGGAAGGAGAAGCGAAGAUAAGGAUACCUGGUGGUGGAAUGAUGAUGUCCAGAAGGCGCUUAAAGAGAACAAAGAUUGCUUCAGACGCCUAUACCUGGAUAGGAGUGCAGACAACAUAGAGAAGUACAAGAUGGCGAAGAAGGCCGCAAAGCGAGCUGUUGGUGAAGUAAGGGGUCGGGCAUAUGAGGACCUCUACCAACGAUUAGGCACGAAGGAAGGUGAAAGGGACAUCUAUAAGAUGGCUAAGAUCCAGGAGAGGAAGACGAGGGAUAUUGGCCAAGUCAAAUGCAUCAAGGACGGAGCAGGCCAACUCUUGGUGAAGGACGAAGAGAUUAAGCAUAGAUGGCGGGAGUACUUCGACAAGCUGUUCAAUGGGGAGAAUGAGAGUUCUACCAUUGAACUGAAUGACUCCUUUGAUGAGACCAACAUGCGUUUUGUGCGGCGCAUCCAGGAGUCUGAGGUGAAGGAGGCUUUAAAAAGGAUGAAAGGAGGCAAGGCGAUGGGCCCUGAUUGUAUCCCCAUUGAGGUGUGGAAAGGUCUCGGGGACAUAGCGAUAGUAUGGCUAACCAAGCUUUUCAACCUCAUUUUUCGGGCAAACAAGAUGCCAGAAGAAUGGAGACGGAGUAUAUUAGUACUAAUCUUCAAGAACAAGGGGGAUGUUCAGAGUUGUACUAAUUACCGUGGAAUUAAGCUGAUGAGCCAUACAAUGAAGCUAUGGGAGAGAGUCAUUGAGCACCGCUUAAGAAGAAUGACAAGCGUGACCAAAAAUCAGUUUGGUUUCAUGCCUGGGAGGUCGACCAUGGAAGCCAUUUUCUUGGUACGACAACUUAUGGAGAGAUAUAGGGAGCAUAAGAAGGACUUGCAUAUGGUGUUCAUUGACUUGGAGAAGGCCUAUGAUAAGAUACCGCGGAAUGUCAUGUGGUGGGCCUUGGAGAAACACAAAGUCCCAGCAAAGUACAUUAACCCUCAUCAAGGACAUGUACAAUAA
rnacentral:rRNA from 1 species